UUGUUUAAACUUGUCAGAUGAUUACGAAGCACGAUCAUAUUUCAUUCGUAACGCAACCCAAUUUGUUCAAAACGAUAUGCAUAUAUAUAAGGGAUAUAAAUCGAUUUGACCUUGAAAACGUACGAAAGAAUUAACACACGUCUUACUUAAAAGAAUAUUUUAUCGCAUCUCGGAACAAUGCAUUGCACGAACGAUUACAACACGACUUAGUGAUGAUGAUUGAAUUACAAUGUUUCCCUUUUUUUGUUUUUUUUUUUUUUUUCGGUUUUUUUUUUUUUUUUUUCUCCUCUUUUUUCCUUGUUUCUUUUUUUUAUCUAAUAAACGCACGAACAUUUCUUAAUCGUUAUUGUCAUAUUCGACAUUUUGUUCUCAAUUUAAUUGAUUUAUCGAUUUAUGUACAUACAUGUUUCUCCAUAAUGUUCAAUUACAUUAUCUUAUCGAACUUCCUAGAUUUAACAAGGUUAGAGAAUACAAUAGAAGUAAUUAGUAUCAUGACACUUUAAAGAAAUCAUUUCCUCCAUUACUGACAAGAAAAGUCGCUUGUACAACACACGUGCAAAGCACGCAAAUCAGACGCUCGUAUUAUAGGUCACGUGUGUCGUCGUCGUCGUCGACGUCGUCGAAUACCUAAUUAAUAAUUCAAUGAAAUUCUUAACAAGUUACACGGAAUGGCUGUAUAACAUGUAAAAAAACGAAAGAAGGACAAGGAAAAAGACAUUUAUCAGAUGUUUAGAAGUAAAAGUUAAUUGAAAUGUUAAUUUAUCUAACCUCAAAAAUGAACUUUCGAUGAUUGAUAUAAGUAUACAUAUAUAACAACGAAUUAUAAAAUAAAUUGAAUGGUCAGUAUAUUGAAUCGAGGAAGAAGAGGACUAUGCUGACAACUCGAUUUCGCUCCUUUCUACUGCAUUUUGCUCGAUUCUCGGAGUCAAGCAAAAUCGUUACGCAUCCUGUCUGGCAUUGAAUAACACACGCGCGUUCCACUCACUUCGCCUCGGUUAUUACGAAUGAAGAAAAUUGUUUACAUAUAUAUAGAAGAUGAUUUUCUAACGAAAACGAACGUGAAUUUCUCCAUAGAAACUUGACGACCAAAAGUUGAAGGAAAAAACGUUGUGUUACGUAAACGAAACUGUGUAAGUAGGAGGAUCAUUGAGGGUUUUACACAUCGUGCCGUUACGCUUCGAACGCAGUGCAAUUUAAUCCAACACCUCGUAUUUAGCGCCAACGCAAGAUUUCGCGGAAAGCUCGCGCGCUUUUCAAAAGAUAUAGUGCCAUAUCUUACAUCACUAUGAUAUCAUCGUUGUUGGAAUUUUUCUAUAUAUGGCACUCGUUGGAAAACAUGUUAUUGAUCAUUUAAAAAAUGUGUAUAUAAAGAUCCUAAUUUUUAUUUAAAAAAUCAAAAGAACAUAACCUGUAAAUUUAAUCAUUUAUAACUUGAUGUAAUUUUCAAG